rnacentral:rRNA from 1 species
UACGUAGGGUCCGAGCGUUGUCCGGAAUUAUUGGGCGUAAAGAGCUCGUAGGCGGUUUGUCGCGUCUGCUGUGAAAUCCCGAGGCUCAACCUCGGGUCUGCAGUGGGUACGGGCAGACUGGAGUGCGGUAGGGGAGAAUGGAAUUCCUGGUGUAGCGGUGGAAUGCGCAGAUAUUAGGAGGAACACCGAUGGCGAAGGCAGUUCUCUGGGCCGUAACUGACGCUGAGGAGCGAAAGCGUGGGGAGCGAACAGG